ensembl:lncRNA
AUGAAGCUCCCAGCUCCAAUAAAAGCAUCUGCUGAGAGCUUCAAUCAGUUCAGGGACGCAGCAUUAAAGAGGAGUGGGCAAGUGCGGGAGCCAAAAAGGUCUCUUGUGCAAACUGAGAGGGAACUGCAGAAUCUUCCAGAAGAAAACAAAAAAUCUGUAGCCACUUCUGUGGGCCGUGAAAGCACAGGAUUGGAUGCCAUGGCAAUGACAGACUGUGAGCUUGAAAAAGAAAUACAUAAGAGUAAAUUGCCCGAAGCUCAGCAAUGUAUUCUUGACCAAGACCGUAACUUGGCUAGAAAAAUGGAACAAGAACGCAGGAGGAAGGAAGCAAUAGCUUGGAUAAUUGAUGUGAAUCUGCAGAGAGAUAUUAUGGCAUCUUUUGAAGAAUAUCUUGAGUGAAAGCAGUUUUUUAUAUAGAAUUUAACUUCAGACUACUAAAAAGAGCAUAGUUUUGUACUAGUUAGAAUCUUAAAUAUUAAAACCGCUUUAAAGUUCUUCUCUAAAAUGCUUUGUAUUAAAAAUUGUUCACUAAUACCUGAAGUGCCACAAGAUUUAUUUCUUUUCACUGCUUGUUUAUAACAUGUAAUCUAUUCUGCUGCAGAGGGGAAUGGAGUUAUUAAUUUGAUUGCAGUUUCAUUUUUGUGUAUAUCUGUUAAAAUAAAAAAUCACUUUACUGUGAUUUUAAAAAAUCACUUCUGUGACUCACCUGUACAAAAUCUGGGCUGUGACAAAAAGAUCUCACUACAAGUGAUACUGUCUAAGGGGAGGGAGGAGGUGUAACAUUACUUGUAAUCACAAAAAAAACUUCCAUGAACUCUUUAAGUUCAUCAGUAAAUCUGAUCUACUUGCAUGUAUUUUAAGGCCCAGAUAUGUCAACAUAAAAUACAUUAAACACAAUAUUUAGCUAAGGGUGCAAACAUGUUUGCCACAUAGUUCUAGUUGUUCUCAGGGAGAAAUUAUGGCAAACACUCCAGUUUGAAAGAUUUUAUGAUUGAUGCAAGAUGAAGAUAUUACCGUCAAAAAAUUGUCUGGUAGAAACCAGAAUGUAAAGCCACACAUGCUUGUUGAUUGUAUACAGGUAUAAGAAAUAAAUACAGGACAAAUAAAACAUUGUUUUAUGGAAUUAAUAACAAAAUGUGUAUUACAGAAAUGCUGGGUGGAAGAGGCCCCCUUCAGACAAUCUAGUUUAGUAGUCUCCAAACCCUUUUUGUCAUAUACUCCAUCAUUUAAAUAUUUUAAGUGUGGACUCCAAGCAUGUAUAUUUAUUAAUUUAUAAAUUACAUACAAUAUUCCACUGUACUAGUAUUUUUUUACAUUACAUUAUAAUAUUUUACAAUUCUGGUUUAUUUUUAACCCUGCUUAUUUAUUAUUUUAUUUUGUAAUUUUAAAAAUUGUAUUCAAUAUUUUCUUCUCGCACUCCACUUUGGAGACUACUGAUCUCAUUGAGCCUCCCACUCAAAACUGUCUCCCAACAGAGAACUUUGAUUUGUCAAGCUCCUGGAUGAAAAGUGAAGGUAACACUGCCAGUUGUGGUGAGGUUCUGCCACAGACAACCAAACUAAGUAACCUAAGUGAACAAAACUUUCUACAAAUAACUGAAUUUUCAGAGAAGACAAUAAAUUGCUUCUAAAUUCAAAAAUGCCAGCUAAAGCAUGCCCAGAAAUGUUUCCUGGUCUUUUAGAUAGCAGGUCGAUGAGUUAGUGCUAGUUCCAAUAUAUUUAUUCAAUAUAGUCAUGGAUCUUCAAAUUCUGCCAUUGCUGGAAUGGUAUUAUUCAAAAGCACAAAAAGAAUGUGUAUGGCAAACACCGAUUGGGCCAGCACCCUCUGCAAUGCCCAGGGAUGCACUGGCCUGGAGGCAUGUUCGGGUGUACACUGUUUGGGAGACUUGAGGACUUGGCUAGGACAGGGAUUUGGGAUGAAAGAUAGGUUGUAAUGUAAGUUAUGCUGUUAGGAUGUCUUUCA